rnacentral:lncRNA from 1 species
CUGCACUCUAUUGAGUGUGAACGAUCUUACUCAAUAGUACCCAAACUGGUCAAGGUUCCUGUAAAGAGAAGACCAAACUUCAGGUAUGUAAUGCUCCAAGUUUUCUACCAGGAUCUUCAAAUUGGUGACACACUGAUAACAACUGUCACUGUGCAAGACUGUCUGUAGAAAUCUUGGUCAAAUUGUGCAAUUUCAAAUCUCUGAAAUAUAAAAGCAUCUUUCACUCAAGCCUCUUGUAGAAUAUUGAACUGCAGAGAAUAUUUAUUUAAGCCCAGAAGGCCCUGCCAAGGCAUCAAAAUGUGAGAGAAUGCUCUCUGGCUCCAGGGAGCAAGGCAUCACAGAACACCAACUGAUAGUGAGGGACGGUGCGUGUCCAAGAUAAGUGUCCCCAAACUGUGAAUUUGGUUAGACGUUCUUCCAUAUAACUUUUAAAUGUUGUCAGUUAAGAGACAGCCCCUUUAUAGUUAUAUGUGUUUCUGGAAGGCAGUUUCCGAAAACAGUAAUAAAAUAGAGUAGUUUUGGUGUUUUGAGACAAGUUCUUGCUCGGGAUGGCCUGGAACUGAAGGCUUCAGCUUUCCCCACUGCUAAGCCGUCAGACAAGCAUCACUGUGUCUGGCACACUGAUCCUAACAGUAAUAGAAAUAACCAGCAUCCAUUGAGAAAUUUUUCCUAUGUGCUAUGCUCAGUUCUAAACACUAGGCGUUUACUCAUCUGAUUCUCUUAUCAACGUCCUGAGAUAAAGCUGAUCAUUGCUCCCAUCUUUCUUGGAAAGAUACUUGGGUGUUUCAAAGGGCAAUAGCUUGUCUAAAGUUUUGUCUUCAGUGGAUGGAAGCAAGAAUAGAGUUUGGAGAUGGACUUGCUUACCCGUCUAAAGGAUGUGGAAUUGGAGAAUAAGUGAGCUAAUCUUGGAAGAAUUUUGCAGAAAAACAGGACAUUUCUCCAUGGAUCCAGAGGAAGUGGUAACUGAGGUAUGAGACACUUGUGUCUUCUCAUCUUUUGUUUCUCUUUCCUGACGUAGGGCAUUCCUUUUGUUGAUUAGAAAAUGAUUCAUAAUAGCAAUAUACUUUGUAGACAGUGAACUUGUUAAGUCAGACAAUUAAGGAAGAUUCUCAGGGCUUCAGAAGAAACAGACAAGCUGCAGGGAAGGAAAACCCACACUCAGCACAGCAAAAGCAGGAUGGGAAAAGUUGGACUCAACAAAAGGUUUGAGCUCUAUAGGGAUCUGGCUUCUUCAUGGGUAUUCCUAGUGGAUGGCCUCAAGUCUACAAUAGAGACUGCUUGGUAAGUAUAAGCUAUAUGUGGGUGGUUAUAGUCAUACUGUAGGUAGCACUUCUUGCCUGUGAUGGUAUUUCAAAUGUCUCACUCUUUUAUAGCAUGUGUGAAAUGAAGCUCAGACAUUGUUUUCUGUAUUGAGAUCCACAGAGAAUCUCUUAAAUGUCAUAACUAUGAUACUAUUUUUUUUAAUUUUACUGUGUCGAUGUCUUUAUAAAAAAGAGGUUCAUGAUACCCUGACCAUCUAAAACACACUACUGAAUAUGGAACAAACUUACAUGAAUUCUUAUAGGAUAGUCAGGACUGGAAGGGAGUUUUUCUGUGUUAAAGAUAACAAAGUGACAUGAGUAGGAUCUUUGCCUGACCUGAGUCUCAACUUUCCACCAAGUGUGUGACCUGCAGCAGGUAGCACAUAUCUAGGCUUCUCUAAUUUGAUUCAUGUGAAAGACAAAGUUGGUGACUAUCCUUACCACUGGGACUGAGAGACAAGGGCUGAAUCCAUUCAUAUUUAACAUUGAAGUGACAACCUGUCCUAAUGUCCCAGACAAAGCAGUACAAAGCAAUGUCAGUACUCCUUUGAGGAGAAGCAC